GGCCUCCUAUCUCAGCUGGUAGAGCAUGCGCGUACAAAGCGUAGGCGGCGUCCAUGCGUGGGUUCGAAUCCCACCGAGGCUA
rnacentral:tRNA from 1 species